CCAACGGCCCUCUUUAGGGCCACAAAUAUUGAAAUCCUUACAAAA
rfam:Caenorhabditis elegans chromosome IV